rnacentral:rRNA from 1 species
GACGGGGCCCGCACAAGCGGUGGAGUAUGUGGUUUAAUUCGAUGCAACGCGAAGAACCUUACCUGGUCUUGACAUCCCAGAGACCCUUAGGAAACUAGGGGGUGCUUCCAUCUGGAAGAAUCUGGAGACAGGUGCUGCAUGGCUGUCGUCAGCUCGUGUCGUGAGAUGUUGGGUUAAGUCCCGCAACGAGCGCAACCCUUGCCUUUAGUUGCCAGCAGUUCGGCUGGGCACUCUAAAGGGACUGCCGGUGUUAAACCGGAGGAAGGUGGGGAUGACGUCAAGUCCUCAUGGCCUUUAUGACCAGGGCUGCACACGUACUACAAUGGCCGAUACAAAGGGCAGCGACACUGCGAGGUGAAGCCAAUCCCGUAAAAUCGGUCUCAGUCCGGAUUGGAGUCUGCAACUCGACUCCAUGAAGUUGGAAUCGCUAGUAAUCGUGGAUCAGCAUGCCACGGUGAAUACGUUCCCGGGCCUU